rnacentral:rRNA from 1 species
AGUGAACGCUGGCGGUAGGCCUAACACAUGCAAGUCGAACGGCAGCACAGUAUGCGCUUGCUCUUACGGGUUGCUAGUUGCGGACGGGUGAGGAAUACAUCGGAAUCUACUUUUUGGCGGGGGGUAACGGAGGGAAGCUUACGGUAAUACCGCAUACGACCUACUGGUGGAAGCAGGAGAUCUUCGGGCCUUGCGCGAACGAAUGAGCCGCUGACUGAUUAGCUAGUUGGCGGGGGAAACGCCCUCCAAGGCGACGCUCCGUAGCUGGUAUCAGAGGGUGAUCAGCCACCUGGGACCAGAGAAAGGGUACAGACUCCUACGGGAGGCCGCAGUGGGGAAUAUUGGACGAUGGGCGCAAGCCUGAUCCAGCCAUACCGCGUGGGUGAAGAAGGCCCACGGGCUCUAAAGCCCUUAUGUCGGGAAAGAAAAGCAGCAGGUUAAUACCCCGCUGUUCUGACGGUACCCAAAGAAUAAGCACCGGCUAACUUCGUG